rnacentral:rRNA from 1 species
CUUCUCUGGAUGAGUUGCGAACGGGUGAGUAACGCGUAGGUAACCUGCCUGGUAGCGGGGGAUAACUAUUGGAAACGAUAGCUAAUACCGCAUAAUAGCAGUUGUUGCAUGAUAACUGUUUGAAAGGUGCAAUUGCACCACUACCAGAUGGACCUGCGUUGUAUUAGCUAGUUGGUGGGGUAACGGCUCACCAAGGCGACGAUACAUAGCCGACCUGAGAGGGUGAUCGGCCACACUGGGACUGAGACACGGCCCAGACUCCUACGGGAGGCAGCAGUAGGGAAUCUUCGGCAAUGGACGGAAGUCUGACCGAGCAACGCCGCGUGAGUGAAGAAGGUUUUCGGAUCGUAAAGCUCUGUUGUAAGAGAAGAACGAGUGUGAGAGUGGAAAGUUCACACUGUGACGGUAUCUUACCAGAAAGGGACGGCUAACUACGUGCCAGCAGCCGCGGUAAUACGUAGGUCCCGAGCGUUGUCCGGAUUUAUUGGGCGUAAAGCGAGCGCAGGCGGUUAGAUAAGUCUGAAGUUAAAGGCUGUGGCUUAACCAUAGUACGCUUUGGAAACUGUUUAACUUGAGUGCAAGAGGGGAGAGUGGAAUUCCAUGUGUAGCGGUGAAAUGCGUAGAUAUAUGGAGGAACACCGGUGGCGAAAGCGGCUCUCUGGCUUGUAACUGACGCUGAGGCUCGAAAGCGUGGGGAGCAAACAGGAUU